GAAAGGAUGCUAAUACCGCAUACGCCCUGAGGGGGAAAGAUUUAUUGCUAAGAGGUCGGCCCGCGGUAGAUUAGGCAGUUGGUGGGGUAAAGGCUUACCAAACCUACGAUCUAUAGCUGGUCUGAGAGGACGAUCAGCCACAUUGGAACUGAGACACGGUCCAGACUCCUACGGGAGGCAGCAGUGAGGAAUAUUGGGCAAUGGAGGCAACUCUGACCCAGCCAUGCCGCGUGAGUGAAGAAGGUUUUCGAAUUGUAAAGCUCUUUCGGGUGUGAAGAUGAUGACGGUAACACCAGAAGAAGCCCCGGCAAACUUCGUGCCAGCAGCCGCGGUAAUACGAAGGGGGCGAGCGUUGUUCGGAAUUACUGGGCGUAAAGGGUGUGUAGGCGGUUAAGUAAGGUAGUGGUGAACUGCCGGGGCUCAACCUCGGAAUUGCCAUUAUGACUAUUUAGCUAGAAUGAUGCAGAGGAUAGCGGAAUACCCAGUGUAGAGGUGAAAUUCGUAGAUAUUGGGUAGAACACCAGAGGCGAAGGCGGCUAUCUGGGCAUUGAUUGACGCUGAGGCACGAAAGCAUGGGGAUCAAACAGGAUUAGAUACCCUGGUAGUCCAUGCUGUAAAAGAUGAAUGCUAGUUGUUGGAGGAAUUCAGUG
rnacentral:rRNA from 1 species